GAGUUGUGCUUUACUGUGGUAU
rnacentral:miRNA from 1 species